CACACACUUGUGCACCUGCACAAAAACCCUGCACUCUUCCUGAUCUCAGCUCCGGGGGUGAAUAGCGAUUGUGUCUAAGGCCAAUCUUGGUGACCCAUUUCCCAUGCCGGUCAUUGGGUUGGGUAUCCCAAAGAAAUGGGAGGGAAAUGUGCUAGGGGAAGAGGACAUCCUGGGGAGGAUUUCCCCCACUAAUUAAACAAAAAACAUAUUAAGCAAAACGUUUCUCUUACUCUGCCAGACGUUGUCAUGUCUGUGUGUGAAGCCAAGAACCACUGCAGCCACUUUGUGACAAGAAGGGAGCUAAGCUGAUAUGAUGAGGACUGCGAAGUGGAAAGAUGGAAAGAAUCUAGUGGGGUUUUCUGGGGGUCGAUUUUUUUGAGGAAGAUUAGCCCUGAGCUAACAUCUGCUGCCAAUCCUCCCCUUUUUGCUGAGGAAGACUGGCCCUGAGCUAAUAUCCAUGCCCAUACUCCUCUACGUUAUAUGUGGGAUGCCUACCAAAGCAUGGCUUGACAAGCAGUGCCAUGUCCGCACCCGGGAUCCGAACCAGUGAACCCCGGGCCCUGAAGUGGAACGUACACACUUAACUGCUGCGCCACUGGGCCAGCCCCCAAAUCUGGUGUUUUGACAACUUGUUUCAGCCACUGGAUUAAUCACUCCUGCAGCUGUUGUAUCUCAAGACUUCUGGCUAACAUGGCUUGACAAAUGGUGCUAGGUCCACACACUGGAUCCAAACCUGCAAACCCCAGGCCACCGAAGCGGAGCUUGGGAACUUAACUGCUACACCACCAGGCCGGCCCCUGUAUGUGUUUUAAUGUGAGAAUCCAGCACCCUGAGGAAGGAGUGUUCCUAAAUGAUCCCAUAUCCAGCCAUUGUCUCAGAGGAUUUCUGUUUGCCAAAGCCAACUCUAACCCUCACUGAAUUGAACCUCUGGAUGUUAGAGUGACUUCCACGAGUGGACUUUCAGAAAGAAGGCGGACGCCACUGGGAUCAAAGAAAUCGUAGCUCAGCUUUAAGUUUCAAAAUGAUUUGAAGUCUAUGCUGAAGAUAAUAAUCUUGAAAGGUGGGUUUUGUUGAGUGAAAAAGGUAUUUCCUAAAUUCUGAAACUUUCCCCUUAAAUAAGAAGCAGCAAAGCUUGGAUCACAGAGAUAGGAAGAACCUGGAUAAGGGUAAAAUGUUUGAAAGAGGAAAGGGAGAGAGAGCAAAAGGUCAGAUGCAAAUGUCUUAUCUUGUCUUAUGGGGUGGGAAGUCCCAGAAGGGUCUAAAGAACCCACUGUUAACAUUCUGAGAAACCUGAGAACACUGGGGUUCUAUGUCAGAGGAGACUGUAGGACACUCAAAGAAGUCCCACAUUGGGCGAUGGCCCUGCUUUUGAUGCCUUGAGGGAGUGGGGGAGCAGCUUCAUUCAAGUGGAGUUAGUGGUCCCAGUGGACCAGUCUACAUGCCAUACGCAGGGCUCCAGGAAGACCCACAAGUACCAGUAGGGGAUGAGCGAGUGCUAAGAAAAUUGGUACACCAGAGGAGGCCUGGACAUCAAGAAGAGGAGACGACAGAGCAUAGGACCUUGUGACUAAAGGCUGUAGCAGUGACCCUCAAUUUUAGCAGUGACAUCCAAAAUUCCAGCCAGGACCCACUACUCCUCAGCAUCAUGUGUAAAAAUGGCCCAGAGACCCUGCAGGAUGAGGGCCACCUUGUGGAAGGCAAUGGAAACCCAGAGGCCCUCUCUCUGGACCGAGGUGCCCAAGAAGGGAGAUACAGCCCUGAAACAGAAAGUGAAUUUGAGUCCACUAUUUACCCACAAUUAACAGUUUUAAACUGGAAGAGACUGAGUUAAAUAUAAUAAAGAAUUUUAAGUGUCUUCCUCAGCAUGGGCAAGAAGCGGGGCUGUCUUGAGCAGGAAGGGCUCAGUUCAUGGAUGUAAGGUUAGGUUACUUUUUUCUGCAUCUGAGUUGUAGUGGGUGAACUUCCAUCCUGCUUCAUCAAUGUGUGUGAUACACACAUGCGUGCGCACAUGUGCACACACACACACACACAGGCUUUUGAAUUCCUUCUCUGACAAAAAUCAUCAUGUCAAAAAUUGUGCUCCAACAUAGCAGACAACAGAAGAUCCUAGGGAAGGCUGGCUUUCAAAUGAAAAGGCUGAGGACUCAUUUACUUUAGAACAUGAGAGACAACAGAGAGUAACGGUCAAGGCCAUGGAGCCUGAUGUGUCGUCUGCAAACCUUGGUUCCACCACUCACUAGC
rnacentral:lncRNA from 1 species